rnacentral:lncRNA from 1 species
GAUGGGGGAUCAAGACUGGGCUGCCGUACAUCUGGCACAGCAAGGCGAGCAACCCGUUCGUGAACCUGAAAAAGGAGUACAAGGGAAUCUUCUGGCAGGAGGAGAUCAUCCCAUUCUUCCAAGGAAUCAAGCUCUCCAAGGAAGCCACCUCAGUCCAGAAGUGUUACAUUGAGCUCUCCAAGGAAGUCAAGGAGAGGCUUGGAAAGGUCGAUCCUUACUUCGACAAGCUGGCCGAUGCCAUGGUCACCUGGAUCGAGGCAUGGGACGAGCUCAACCCUUCUUCGGAUGACAAACCUGUCAAUGGCGUUGCCAAGUAGAAGACUUGAUUUACCCUUUUGCUGAGAGAGAGAGACUUAUCGUAGUAGUACUAUAAGUUAGGGUUUGGUGUAUUCUUAAGCAUACAGUAUUAUUUUCUCAUCCCUUACAUUGUCAUUCAUUAUUGUUGCUAUUUACUUACUGCCUCUUGUUACAGGUUUUUGAGUGAGAACUUUAUGCUAUUAUCUAUCUUAUCAUUAUUGUUUUGUUGCUCAGUUUCUAUUGUAUCGGUUUAAUCUUGUAUCGGUAAACAUAUGGACCUGACCGGUAUGGUAAUGGUCCUCUCAUAGUUCAACCAAUGAC